GGAUUUAUACCAUUCGUGGAACAUGUCAUUUAAUUCGUAAAUACACGCAAAACCUUACCAACUUUUGAAUAAUUUUGUAUUCUAAUGAAGAAAUUUGUUAUGUUAAAAAUUACAGGUACUGCAUGGCUGUCGUCAGCUCGUGUCUUGAGAUGUUAGGUUUAGUCCAGUAACGAGCGAAACCCUUCUUCUUUGUUGCAAAAGACUAUUUACUCGGUUGUAUCAAUUGAGUUAUAUCUGUGUACUUAAAGAGUAUUGCUAUGAUAUAUAGGAUGAAAGAAAGGAUGACGUCAAGUCUUCAUGGUCCUUAUAAGUUGGGCUAUCGAUGU
rnacentral:rRNA from 1 species